UACGUAGGGUGCAAGCGUUGUCCGGAAUUAUUGGGCGUAAAGAGCUCGUAGGCGGUUUGUCGCGUCGACUGUGAAAACUCACAACUCAAUUGUGGGCGUGCGGGCGAUACGGGCAGACUGGAGUACUGCAGGGGAGACUGGAAUUCCUGGUGUAGCGGUGAAAUGCGCAGAUAUCAGGAGGAACACCGGUGGCGAAGGCGGGUCUCUGGGCCGAUACUGACGCUGAGGAGCGAAAGCGUGGGGAGCGAACAGG
rnacentral:rRNA from 1 species